rnacentral:rRNA from 1 species
GGGUUGUGAGGUUAAGCGACUAAGCGUACACGGUGGAUGCCCUGGCAGUCAGAGGCGAUGAAGGACGUGCUAAUCUGCGAAAAGCGUCGGUAAGGUGAUAUGAACCGUUAUAACCGGCGAUGUCCGAAUGGGGAAACCCAGUGCAAUUCGUUGCACUAUCGUUAACUGAAUACAUAGGUUAACGAGGCGAACCGGGGGAACUGAAACAUCUAAGUACCCCGAGGAAAAGAAAUCAACCGAGAUUCCCCCAGUAGCGGCGAGCGAACGGGGAGCAGCCCAGAGUCUGAAUCAGCUUGUGUGUUAGUGGAACGGUCUGGAAAGUCCGACGGUACAGGGUGAUAGUCCCGUACACCAAAAUGCACAGGUUGUGAACUCGAAGAGUAGGGCGGGACACGUGGUAUCCUGUCUGAAUAUGGGGGGACCAUCCUCCAAGGCUAAAUACUCCUGACUGAACGAGAGUGAACCAGUACCGUGAGGGAAAGGCGAAAAGAACCCCGGCGAGGGGAGUGAAAAAGAACCUGAAACCGUGUACGUACAAGCAGUGGGAGCACCUUCGGGUGUGACUGCGUACCUUUUGUAUAAUGGGUCAGCGACUUAUAUUCUGUAGCAAGGUUAACCGUAUAGGGGAGCCGCAGGGAAACCGAGUCUUAACUGGGCGUUAAGUUGCAGGGUAUAGACCCGAAACCCGGUGAUCUAGCCAUGGGCAGGUUGAAGGUUGGGUAACACUAACUGGAGGACCGAACCGACUAAUGUUGAAAAAUUAGCGGAUGACUUGUGGCUGGGGGUGAAAGGCCAAUCAAACCGGGAGAUAGCUGGUUCUCCCCGAAAGCUAUUUAGGUAGCGCCUCGUGAAUUCAUCUUCGGGGGUAGAGCACUGUUUCGGCUAGGGGGUCAUCCCGACUUACCAACCCGAUGCAAACUACGAAUACCGAAGAAUGUUAUCACGGGAGACACACGGCGGGUGCUAACGUCCGUCGUGAAGAGGGAAACAACCCAGACCGCCAGCUAAGGUCCCAAAGUCAUGGUUAAGUGGGAAACGAUGUGGGAAGGCACAGACAGCCAGGAUGUUGGCUUAGAAGCAGCCAUCAUUUAAAGAAAGCGUAAUAGCUCACUGGUCGAGUCGGCCUGCGCGGAAGAUGUAACGGGGCUAAACCAUGCACCGAAGCUGCGGCAGCGACACUAUGUGUUGUUGGGUAGGGGAGCGUUCUGUAAGCCUGCGAAGGUGACCUGUGAGGGUUGCUGGAGGUAUCAGAAGUGCGAAUGCUGACAUAAGUAACGAUAAAGCGGGUGAAAAGCCCGCUCGCCGGAAGACCAAGGGUUCCUGUCCAACGUUAAUCGGGGCAGGGUGAGUCGACCCCUAAGGCGAGGCCGAAAGGCGUAGUCGAUGGGAAACAGGUUAAUAUUCCUGUACUUGGUGUUACUGCGAAGGGGGGACGGAGAAGGCUAUGUUAGCCGGGCGACGGUUGUCCCGGUUUAAGCAUGUAGGCUGGUUAUCCAGGCAAAUCCGGAUAAUCAAGGCUGAGGUGUGAUGACGAGGCACUACGGUGCUGAAGUAACAAAUGCCCUGCUUCCAGGAAAAGCCUCUAAGCAUCAGGUAACAUCAAAUCGUACCCCAAACCGACACAGGUGGUCAGGUAGAGAAUACCAAGGCGCUUGAGAGAACUCGGGUGAAGGAACUAGGCAAAAUGGUGCCGUAACUUCGGGAGAAGGCACGCUGGUGUGUAGGUGAAGUCCCUGCGGAUGGAGCUGAGACCAGUCGAAGAUACCAGCUGGCUGCAACUGUUUAUUAAAAACACAGCACUGUGCAAACACGAAAGUGGACGUAUACGGUGUGACGCCUGCCCGGUGCCGGAAGGUUAAUUGAUGGGGUUAUCCGUAAGGAGAAGCUCUUGAUCGAAGCCCCGGUAAACGGCGGCCGUAACUAUAACGGUCCUAAGGUAGCGAAAUUCCUUGUCGGGUAAGUUCCGACCUGCACGAAUGGCGUAAUGAUGGCCAGGCUGUCUCCACCCGAGACUCAGUGAAAUUGAACUCGCUGUGAAGAUGCAGUGUACCCGCGGCAAGACGGAAAGACCCCGUGAACCUUUACUAUAGCUUGACACUGAACAUUGAGCCUUGAUGUGUAGGAUAGGUGGGAGGCUUUGAAGCGUGGACGCCAGUCUGCGUGGAGCCAACCUUGAAAUACCACCCUUUAAUGUUUGAUGUUCUAACGUUGGCCCCUGACCGGGGUUGCGGACAGUGUCUGGUGGGUAGUUUGACUGGGGCGGUCUCCUCCCAAAGCGUAACGGAGGAGCACGAAGGUUAGCUAAUCCUGGUCGGACAUCAGGAGGUUAGUGCAAUGGCAUAAGCUAGCUUGACUGCGAGCGUGACGGCGCGAGCAGGUGCGAAAGCAGGUCAUAGUGAUCCGGUGGUUCUGAAUGGAAGGGCCAUCGCUCAACGGCUAAAAGGUACUCCGGGGAUAACAGGCUGAUACCGCCCAAGAGUUCAUAUCGACGGCGGUGUUUGGCACCUCGAUGUCGGCUCAUCACAUCCUGGUGCUGAAGUAGGUCCGAAGGGUAUGGCGGUUCGCCAUUUAAAGUGGUACGCGAGCUGCGUUUAGAACGUGGUGAGACUGUUCGGUCCCUAUCUGCCGUGGGCGCUGGAGAAUUGAGGGGGGCUGCUCCUAGUACGAGAGGACCGGAGUGGACGCAUCACUGGUGUUCGGGUUGUCAUGCCAAUGGCACUGCCCGGUAGCUAAAUGCGGAAGAGAUAAGUGCUGAAAGCAUCUAAGCACGAAACUUGCCCCGAGAUGAGUUCUCCCUGAGACUUUAAGUCUCCUGAAGGAACGUUGAAGACGACGACGUUGAUAGGCCGGGUGUGUAAGCGCAGCGAUGCGUUGAGCUAACCGGUACUAAUGAACCGUGAGGCUUAACCUUACAACGCCGAAG